CAAUGAGUAGAUAAUUGAAUAACUAUAACACAAAUGAAUAAUUUGCAACUAAUGACAGAUUUUAUUUCCUACCAUGCCCCGAAUUGAAAAUCAUUCAAUUAUUGUAUAAAACGUCAUGUGGCGUAUGAAUGGUCCUUAAUAUCGAAUCAUUCUUGCAUACAUUGUAAAUAUGGCGGUUGCGGCGUGGUCAAUUUGCGAAUUGUAGAACGAGUUUGUGUAGAUCUUCAAGCAUCUACGAUUUAUUUCGAGUGCCACCAAGAACCCCAGCAACAACAGAACCAAGGAUUUUGUAUUCAAUCAGCGGGAUGGAGUCACGGCAUGUAGCUUACGAACAGGCAUCUGAUCCUGCAGUCUCAAUAUUUUAUAAUGUUUGAAUAUUACUUAUAUUGUGCAGCUAAAUAAAAAGCAGCAGUUAUUCAUUA